rnacentral:rRNA from 1 species
AACGAACGCUGGCGGCGCGCCUAACACAUGCAAGUCGAGCGCCUCCUUCGGGGGGAGCGGCGGACGGGUGAGUAACGCGUGGGAACGUGCCCUUUGGUACGGAAUAGCCCCGGGAAACUGGGAGUAAUACCGGAUGUGGUCGAGAGACGAAAGAUUUAUCGCCAAAGGAUCGGCCCGCGUUGGAUUAGGUAGUUGGUGGGGUAAUGGCCUACCAAGCCGACGAUCCAUAGCUGGUUUGAGAGGAUGAUCAGCCACACUGGGACUGAGACACGGCCCAGACUCCUACGGGAGGCAGCAGUGGGGAAUCUUAGACAAUGGGGGAAACCCUGAUCUAGCCAUGCCGCGUGAUCGAUGAAGGCCUUAGGGUUGUAAAGAUCUUUCAGUGGGGAAGAUAAUGACUGUACCCACAGAAGAAGCCCCGGCUAACUCCGUGCCAGCAGCCGCGGUAACAC